rnacentral:lncRNA from 1 species
CUGUUUUCCAUUAUCAGAUGAGAUAUAGUAGCAGCUAACAUAAACCACUAUCUCUAUUUUUAGUCAGAAAGGAAACGAGACUCUCAUAAAAUCUGAAUGGCUAGAGGAGCAGGCUGGGCCUUCCACAAUGACUUCCAGCCCCACAACAUGGAAGCAGCCCUCUGCCCCAGUCAGGAAGCAGGGAACAGGAAGCGGAUGCAGCAACAGAUGGAUCCAGGAACAUCCUGUCCCACCUACCACCCAGGGAUGAGGAAAGCCAUGGCAGUCAUUAUGUUUUAGAUCUGAAACAUCCCCCAAAGCCUUCCGUGUUCAGCGGUAGGGCUUUUAAAAGGUGAUUGGAUCACAAGGGUUCUAUUUUUUAUCUGUGGAUUAAUCAGUCCAUUGAUAGAUUCAUAAUUUGGUGGCAUUGGAAGGAGGUGAUAGAAACUUGGAGGUGGGGCCAGGUUAAAGGAUGUGGGUGCUGGCUGGAGGUGUAACCCUGGGGACCAAGUCUUGUCUCUGGUCCCUUCCCCUCUAGCUUUCCCCCUCCCUGCUUCUGGCUGCUCUAAAGUGAGUGGCUUCCCUCCACCAUGCCCCUCCACCACGUUUCUGCCCCAACACAGGCCUCCUAUGGCAAUGCGCCAUACACCAACACCCCUAAACCGUGAGCCCCAAUAGCUAUUUCCUCCUUAGGUUGUUCACAGCUAUUUGGUCACAAUGAUGAAAAACUGAGUGAUACAGCAAUAUUGCCUCCAGAACUGAGCCUCUGUUUCCAGAUCCACAGCUGCGAUUAUGGGCCCUCCACUCUGUCUCUUGCUCCUCAUGUUGGCAAUUAGAUUCAAGGACCUCAGUCUCUGUUCCUACAGGGAAACCAUCAGAAGGACAAGAGUGAGACCUUUAUCUUCACUGUGCGUUCUACACCUCCUACCGUUGUCCGUGUCCUAGCAAGGGAUGAAGUGCCUUUGGCACAACUGACCUGGCUCUUAACUACUGCACAGAGAGAGGAACAGUUCCCAUUUCAUACUGCUCUACACAGAAGGCUUCAGCCCGAGGUCGACUGACGCUGAGGUAGAGAUGGAGGCAGAGCAAAGCUGCUCAGUCCACGGCACAGUGAAGUUUAACCCCAUAUCACACCAACCAAACUUCCCUGCUGGUCAGCCGUGCUUUCUAGAUUGAAUACUCGAGGUUAGUAUCUCUAAUCCCUCCUCUUCCCUCUGGUAAACUCAUACAUCCCUCAAAACAGCAGUACAGUUUUCGCCUUUUUUAUGAAGCUCUGAAUCUCCUGGUCAGUUGGCCCUGUUUGCCCCUGGGGCACCGUGUGCUGUCUGAUGGU